rnacentral:rRNA from 1 species
GACAGAGGGGGCAAGCGUUGCUCGGAAUCACUGGGCGUAAAGGGCGCGUAGGCGGGAUGGCAAGUCAGUCGUGAAAUCUCUCGGCUCAACCGAGAAACGUCGGCUGAUACUGCCGUUCUUGAGGGAUGCAGAGGAGACUGGAAUUCCCGGUGUAGCGGUGAAAUGUGUAGAGAUCGGGAGGAACACCGGUGGCGAAGGCGGGUCUCUGGGCAUCUCCUGACGCUGAGGCGCGAAAGCCAGGGGAGCGAACGGG